GGCCAAGCGGUUAGCGCACUUGCCUUUCACCUCUGAGGCUGCAGGUUCGAGUCUCACUAAGUACCUUCUCAGUGCGACUCGAACCCAGUCCCCAUGUGAAAAGAGUAAAAAAGUCAAUGCUCUGCCGAAAGCCGUGGGUUUUCCCCGGGUACUCCGGUUUCCUCCCACAGGGAAAGUUGACAGGGUGGGUUAGGUAAAAAAAAAAAAAGGGCC